rnacentral:snoRNA from 1 species
CCCAGCUGUAGGCAACAGCCUAGGUUGUCUUGUAUCAAGGUAAGUGUUACACUGCUGGGAGAAAAGCAGCCAACAGCUGGCAUGCACUCUGGGUCUGGCUAACCCAAAUCUGUUUUAACUACAUCAGUAUGCCAGCAUA